rnacentral:rRNA from 1 species
GAAGGUGGCGAGCGUUGUUCGGAAUUAUUGGGCUUAAAGAGCACGUAGGCGGAACAGAAAGUGUCUUGUGAAAACCCCCCGGCUUAACCGGGUAAUUGCUUGGCAAACUCCUGUUCUUGAGUCAAGUAGGGGUACAUGGAACUCUUAGUGGAGCGGUGGAAUGCGUAGAUAUUAAGAGGAACGCCAAUGGUGAAGACAGUGUACUGGGCUUGUACUGACGCUGAGGUGCGAAAGCGUGGGGAGCGAACGGGAUUAGAUACCCCGGGUAGUCCACGCCGUAAACGAUGUCUACUAGGUUGUGGGUGUUCUGACACAGUCACAGCCGAAGCAAAAGUGUUAAGUAGACCGCCUGGGGAGUACGGUGCAAGGCUA